UACGGGGGGAGCAAGCGUUGUUCGGAUUUACUGGGCGUAAAGGGCGCGUAGGCGGCCACCGCAAGUCACUUGUGAAAUCUCCGGGCUUAACCCGGAAAGGUCAACUGGUACUGCGGGGCUAGAGUGCAGAAGGGGCAACUGGAAUUCUCGGUGUAGCGGUGAAAUGCGUAGAUAUUGGGAGGAACACCAGUGGCGAAGGCGGCUCACUGGACCGGAACUGACGCUGAGGCGCGAAAGCGUGGGGAGCAAACGGG
rnacentral:rRNA from 1 species